AGUUUGAUCCUGGCUCAGGAUGAACGCUAGGGCAGGCCUAAUACAUGCAAGUCGAACGGGAUCGGCGCCUUCGGCUUGCCGUGAGAGUGGCGCACGGGUGCGUAACGCGUAUGCAACCCACCCCGUCCUGCGGGAGAGCCGGUGGAAACGCCGGGUGAUACCGCAUGAAGCCGGUUGCGGGCAUCCGCUUCCGGUGAAAGCAGCGAUGCGGGAGGGGACGGGCAUGCGUUCCAUUAGCUAGUCGGCGGGGUGACGGCCCACCGAGGCGACGAUGGAUAGGGGAUCUGAGAGGACGGUCCCCCACACUGGUACUGAGACACGGACCAGACUCCUGCGGGAGGCAGCAGUAAGGGAUAUUGGGCAAUGGGGGGAACCCUGACCCAGCCAUGCCGCGUGAGGGAGUGAGGCCCUACGGGUCGUGAACCUCUUUUGGAGGGGGAUAAAGCGCUCCGCUUGACGGUGCGUUGCAGGUACCCUCCGAAUAAGCAUCGGCUAACUCCGUGCCAGCAGCCGCGGUAAUACGGAGGAUGCGAGCGUUAUCCGGAUUUAUUGGGUUUAAAGGGUGCGCAGGCGGCCUGUCAAGUCAGUGGUGAAAGGCAGGGGCUCAACCCCGG
rnacentral:rRNA from 1 species